rnacentral:ncRNA from 1 species
UAGUAGCAUGAAAGGAGAAACAUUUAGCACUCCCCUAGACAAGGAUGGAACACAUAUAUAAAUUGGAUUUUUU